AAUAUUAAAAGUAUAACUGGAAAACCUAUGUUGAAAUCAACCAAACAUGUCGUGGACUGAAUGAUAACCUUUUCUUUCUUCAUAUAGGCUGAUCAGCUGACCGAAGAACAGAUUGCUGAAUUCAAGGAAGCCUUCUCCCUAUUUGAUAAAGAUGGCGAUGGCACCAUCACAACAAAGGAACUUGGAACUGUCAUGAGGUCACUGGGUCAGAACCCAACAGAAGCUGAAUUGCAGGAUAUGAUCAAUGAAGUGGAUGCUGAUGGUAAUGGCACCAUUGACUUCCCCGAAUUUUUGACUAUGAUGGCUAGAAAAAUGAAAGAUACAGAUAGUGAAGAAGAAAUCCGUGAGGCAUUCCGAGUCUUUGACAAGGUAAUCCAGCAUCUACAUAGCAGAUGGUACUUAAGUAUGGCUUCUUCCGCUUUCACUUCUAAAAGCUAUAAUAAUGUUAUAGACAGAAAACUUUAACUGCCUGAGCCUCUGAUCUCACUUUCAAAAAUCCUCUUUAUGGUAACCGUACCAGGGGAGGGUAGGCAUAAUAAAUAGGAAUUU
rnacentral:sRNA from 1 species